UACGUAGGGGGCAAGCGUUGUCCGGAAUUAUUGGGCGUAAAGAGCGCGUAGGCGGUCCGAUAAGUCGGCUGUGAAAGUCUAGGGCUCAACCCUGGAAAGCCGCCGAUACUGUCGGACUAGAGUCCGGAAGAGGCAAGUGGAAUUCCCGGUGUAGCGGUGAAAUGCGCAGAUAUCAGGAAGAACACCAAUGCGAAGGCAGCUCUCUGGGACGGUACUGACGCUGAGACGCGAAAGCGUGGGGAGCGAACAGG
rnacentral:rRNA from 1 species